GACGUAGGGCGCAAGCGUUGUCCGGAUUUAUUGGGCGUAAAGAGCUCGUAGGCGGCUUGCCACGUCUGCCGUGAAAACCUGCAGCUUAACUGUGGGCUUGCGGUCGAUACGGGCAUCACUGGAGUUCGGCAGGGGAGACUGGAAUUCCUGGUGUAGCGGUGAAAUGCGCAGAUAUCAGGAGGAACACCGGUGGCGAAGGCGGGUCUCUGGGCCGGUACUGACGCUGAGGAGCGAAAGCGUGGGGAGCGAACAGG
rnacentral:rRNA from 1 species